rnacentral:rRNA from 1 species
AACCAGCACCUCAAGUGGUCAGGAUGAUUAUUGGGCCUAAAGCAUCCGUAGCCUGUUCUGUAAGUUUUCGGUUAAAUCUAUGCGCUCAACGUAUAGGCUGCCGAAAAUACUGCGGAACUAGGGAGUGGGAGAGGUAGACGGUACUCGGUAGGAAGGGGUAAAAUCCUUUGAUCUAUUGAUGACCACCAGUGGCGAAGGCGGCCACCUGGACUAAUACUGACACUGAGGUGCGAAAGCGUGGGGAGCAAACCGG